rnacentral:rRNA from 1 species
CACGUAGGGCGCAAGCGUUGUCCGGAAUUAUUGGGCGUAAAGAGCUCGUAGGCGGUUUGUCGCGUCUGCUGUGAAAACCUAAGGCUCAACCUUGGGCUUGCAGUGGGUACGGGCAGACUAGAGUGCGGUAGGGGUGACUGGAAUUCCUGGUGUAGCGGUGGAAUGCGCAGAUAUCAGGAGGAACACCGAUGGCGAAGGCAGGUCACUGGGCCGCAACUGACGCUGAGGAGCGAAAAGCAUGGGGAGCGAACAGG